GUGAAAAGUCUCUCAUCCUCCCUAGUCUCCGAGUGAGCGUUGAGAAAAAGACAGGCGGGGAAAAGGAGGGGGGAGAGAGAAACAAAGCGGGAAAAGGUUGUCUGUUACCUCCUACAAGGUGCUGAGAGGAAAUUUCACGGCUGUUUAUCCAUUUGCUGAACUCCCAUCUUCCAUAACCUGUGGCAAAUUGCCAAAAGCCCCAGAAAUGACUAGAGACUGUAGUCAAUUUCCCGAAGUUGAUCCCCAUGAAGUCAGCCCCUCCAGGAGUCUUGGUGAAUGAAAAAACAGAGCCAACAUCUG